CAGCUGUGACUCUGGAUCCUGGGAGUGAUCCUGACAUCCCGGGAAUGAUCCCGGGAAGGAUCUCGCCAUCCCAGCUGUGAUCCCGGAUCCCAGGAGUGAUCCUGACAUCCUGGGAAUGAUCCCGGGACCGAUCCCACAUCCCGGGAAUGAUCCCGGCACCAAUCCCACAUCCCGGGAACGAUCCUGGGACUGAUCCCACAUCCCGGGACUGAUCCCACAUCCCGGGACUGAUCCCACAUCCCGGGAAUGAUCCCACAUCCCGGGACUGAUCCCACAUCCUGGGACUGAUCCCACAUCCCGGGACUGAUCCCACAUCCCGGCGUUUCUCCUCCCUGCUCUGCCCGCGGGAUAUUCCAGGGCUUGGUCCCUGCGAAUCCCCUGGGAAGGGGCGGGACGCCUUUCGGGGGAAAUUCCUUCAUUUCUGAGGUUUUCUGGAAUCCCCCCCUGACUCGGAUUCCCUCUGUUCCCACCCAGAUCCUCCGGCUCCGUCCCGUCCCUCGUUCCAGCAGGAUGAGAGCGGCGGAGCUCCUGCUGCUGUGUCUGCCAGCGCUCCUGGUGCAGGGCCAGUACAGCCGCUUCGAGGGCAUCACGUACCCCGAGCCAGUCCAGUACUCCCAGUACGACCAGCAGGCCGAAAUUCAGGAUUACUACGAUUACCACGAUGUCACCCCCCGAGUCCCGGAGGAGCAAUUCCGGUACCAAUCCCAGCAGCAAUCCCAGCAGGAAACCGUGCCGGCCCCGACCCCAGGUGGGUGACAGUCCCCAGGUGGGUGACAGUCCCCAGGUGGGUGGGUGACAGUCCCCAGGGGUGGGUGACAGUCCCGGGGGUGGGUGACAGUCCCCAGGUGGGUGACAGUCCCCAGGGUGGGUGACAGUCCCCAGGUGGGUGACAGUCCCCAGGGGUGGGUGACAGUCCCGGGGGUG
rnacentral:lncRNA from 1 species